GACAGAGGUGCCGAGCGUUAGGCGGAAUCACUGGGCUUAAAGCGUGUGUAGGCGGAUGGGUAAGUACCUUGUGAAAUCCCACGGCUCAACCGUGGAACUGCUCGGUAUACUGCUCGUCUUGAGCCAACUAGGGGCGACCGGAACAAACGGUGGAGCGGUGAAAUGCGUAGAUAUCGUUUGGAACGCCGAUGGUGAAAACAGGUCGCUGGGGUUGUGCUGACGCUGAGACACGAAAGCCAGGGGAGCAAACGGG
rnacentral:rRNA from 1 species